rnacentral:rRNA from 1 species
GGGAUUAUUCAGUCGGGAGGUCGCGGACGCAGAGUGUGGAAUGACCAGAAUGGUUCUCCGAAUGGAGCCGUCCAUGCUUUGCGCUUUCGUGCCACCCGACGCAUUUGUUUCCCGUCCAGAGGACGCCGCAACCGGUUGGAGAACGGCCUUAAGGGCAGACGAUGGCAGGUGGCCGGUGAUUUUCCCUCGGGAGAGUCUGCCGGUUGUUAGCCGGUUUCUGUCGCACGGCACGUGAUCCGACCGUGGUGUCGCGAGGCCCCUGGUGGGCCUCUUCGCCUCCUCCUUUUGCGGGAAGCCGGGAAUUGGUGGCACGGUCCCUCCCCCCUGCGGGCGCACUGACUGACUCAGUGGCCCAGCUAUCGGGAGGUCCGGUUGGUAGCCUUUUACCCGUUGGAGCGUUGGUGGUUAGCGGCGAGUAGAUCGGUCACCCACCCGACCCGUCUUGAAACACGGACCAAGGAGUCUAACAUGUGUGCGAGUCAAUGGGUCUCGAAUAAGCCCAGAGGCGCAAUGAAAGCAAAGGCCGGACUCGACUUCGGCUGUGUUGGGAUCCUCCUCCUUUAAUACCGGGGGGGGCGCACCAACGACCCGUCCCAUCCGAUUUAUCGGCGGGGCGGAGUCUGAGCAUACACGUUAGGACCCGAAAGAUGGUGAGCUAUGCCCGGGCAGGACGAAGCCAGAGG